rnacentral:rRNA from 1 species
GACGAACGCUGGCGGCGUGCCUAACACAUGCAAGUGGAGCGACGAACCAGGGCUUGCCCUGGGGCCAAGCCGCGAACGGGUGAGUAACACGUGGGUAACCUGCCCCGAUGACCGGGACAACCCGAGGAAACUCGGGCUAAUACCGGAUGUGGUGGACACACUUAAGUGUGUCCACUAAAGGAAGCUUCGGCCUCCGCAUUGGGAUGGGCCCGCGGCCCAUUAGCUAGUUGGUGGGGUAAAGGCCUACCAAGGCAACGAUGGGUAGCUGGUCUGAGAGGACGAUCAGCCACACUGGGACUGAGACACGGCCCAGACUCCUACGGGAGGCAGCAGUGGGGAAUCUUGCGCAAUGCGCGAAAGCGUGACGCAGCAACGCCGCGUGAGGGAA